AUUCAUGGGUGCAGUUUCUCCCAUACUGUUCUCCUGGUAGUGAAUAAGUCUCACGAGAUCUGAUGGUUUUAUAAGGGGAAACCCUUUUCGCUUGGUCCUCAUUCUCUCUUGUCUGCUGCCAUGUAAGACAUGCCUUUUGCUUUCUGCCAUGAUUAUGAGGCCUCUCCAGCCACGUGGAACCGUGAGUACAUUAAACCUCUUUUUCUUCAUGAUUUACCCAGUCUCAGGUAUGUCUUUAUCAGCCGUGUGAGAACAGACUAAUACAACAGUAUAAAGCCAAUGUGGUAAAUGUCUCAAGAAAGAGCCAUUGAAAAUCUACAGGAUCCAGAAGAAGGAGAAGUUGCUCUGGCAGGGAGUUGGCAAUAAGGGUGACCAGGGGACAGCUUCAUGGAAGACUGGACAGUGGAAGUCGGCCAGGAAGGCUUCUGCAGGCAGAGCUGGUAGAGCAAGUGUGUGAAGGCUACAGAGAAACACAGAGAGAGGCAGGAAGACCAUUCAUUGCAAAGAACUGCUGAUUUGCUCACUGGCAUUAGAGUGUGCUGCUGUGACUGGUCUUGGCUGAGAAGAGCAGUGAAUUUUGUGAAGUGACAACCUACGGUUUAACUGGUCUCCAAUGCUAAAAGAAAAUACCUUCCAAGCUCCACUGGAAGCUGCUGGAAUGUGAAGGACGCAGAGGUCAUUCCCAGUUCUCAGUGAGGUCAAGCCCACCAGCCUGCAAGGGAGCAGCUGUGGCCAUGUCCUCUGGAGCAAUUGACCGGAGGUGAACAUGAGCGGUGGUUUCCCCACUGUUGUGGGCUGUGGUGAGCUCUUAGCACAUCCCUGUGCUGUGGGUGACUGCAGGCCACGCCUGCGAAACUUGGCUGAUGCAGGGAGAGAGCUUGUAUUAGUCCGUUUUCACACUGCUAUAAAGAUACUACCAAUGGCCAGGUGCGGUGGCUCACGUCUGUAAUCCCAGCACUUUGGGAGGCCAAGGCAGGCAGAUCACUUGAGGUCAGGAGUUCAAGAACAGCCUGGCCAACAUGGUGAAUCCCUGCCUCUACUAAAAAUACAAAAAUUAGCCAGGUGUGGUGGCUAAUGCUUGCAAUCCCAGCUACUCAGGAGGCUGAGGCACGAGAAUCUCUUGAACCUGGGAAUCGGAGGUUGUAGUGAGAAGAGAUUGCACUGCUGCACUCCAGCCUGGGUGACAGAGUGAGCCUCCAUCUCAAAAAAAAAAAAAAAGAAAAAAAAAGAUACUACCCGAGACCAGGUAAUUUGUGAAAGAAAAAAGUUUAAUUGAUUCACAGUUCUGCAUGGCUGGGGAGGCCUCAGGAAACUUACAAUCAUGGUGGAAGGUGAAGGGGAAGCAAGGACCUUCUUCACAUGGUGGCAGGAGAGAGAGAGUGCAGGGGAAGCUGCCACUUAGAAACUAUCAGCUCUCUCAUGAGAACUCACUCACUAUUACAAGAACAGCAUGGGGGAAAUCGUCCCCAUGAUCCAGUCACCUCCCACCGGAUCCCUCCCUCGACAUGUGGGGAUUACGAUUCGAGAUGAGAUUUGGGUGGGGACACAGCCAAACCAUAUCAGAGGUCACCUGGCAGCUGCCCCCAGGACACCUCCCAAGCUGCUGGGCCCACUCAGAAAGCCUAGCUAAUGAUCAUGGAAGGUGUCGUGGUUAAUACUGAGUGUCAACUUGAUUGGAUUGAAGGAUGCAAACUAUUGAUCCUGGGUGUGUCUGUGAGGAUGUUGCCAAAGGAGAUUAAUGUUUGAGUCAGUGGGCUGGGAAAGGCAGACCCACCCUCAAUCUGGGAGGGCACCAUCUAAUAAGCUACCAGCACAGCUAGUAUAAAAGCUGGCAGAAGAACGUGAAAAGAGUAGACUGGACUAGCCUCCUGGGCUACAUCUUUCUCCCAUGCUGGAUGCUUCCUGCCCUUGAACAUCAGACUUCAAGUUCUUGAGUUUGGGGACUUGGAAUGGCUUCCUUGCUCCUCAGCUUGCAGACGGCCUAUUGUGAGACCUUGUGAUCAUGUGAGUUAAUACUACCUAAUAAGCUCCUAUAUAUAUAUAUGUAUAUAUGUAUAUGUGUGUGUGUGUAUAUAUAUACAUAUAUAUAUAAUAGUAUACAUAUAUAUACUAUUAGUCCUGUCCCGCUAGAGAACCCUGACUAAUACAGAAGGAGAGCCUCCGGUUGGCAGAUGAGCAAAGACAAUUAAAAUCAGGGCAAAUGGCCAGUGCACCAGGCCUGUCUCCAGUGGGACCUGUGAGCCAGGCUGGUGACUCAGGAACCAUGGGUACCACCCCUCUUUGGAGAGUAGAAGUUUCUACCCUUUCCUGGCUUUUGAGGGCUCCUUGUAGGGUGUGCUGUGGGACUGACUGAAUGGCACCAAGUAAAUCACAAAGAGGUUUGACAUCAGACAUCUCUGGUUUUGGCAGAAGUAGGAAUAAUUCUAGAAGGUACUGCAUGUUGGACAAAAAUACAUACAGAAGAUCAUGAAUUUCCAACUGAGACACUGAUUCUUAUAUCAAGCCAAAAUACCUGUGUUUUCAGAAAGACAAAUACUUCAUAAUUCCACUUGCAUGAGGUAUCUAAAAUUGUCAGAUUCAUAGAAUCAAAAUGUGCAGGGGUGUUUUCCAGGCCUGAGGGGAGGGAGAAACAGGCAGUCACUAAUCAACAGGCACAGAGUUGUUUGUUUGAGACAGAGUCUCACUCUGUCUCCCAGGCUGGAGUGCAGUGGCGCAAUCAUAGCUCCCUGCAGCCUCCAACUCCUGGGCUCAAGAGAUCCUCCUGCCUCAGCCUCCCAAGUAACUGGGACUACAUGUGCAUGCAAUCACACCCAGCUAAUUAUUUUAUUUAAUUUUUUUGUAGAGACGUGGUCUUGCUAUCUUACCGAGGCUGGUCUCGAACUCCUGGCCUCAGGCGAUCCUCCUGCCUCAGCCUCCCAAAAUGCUGGGAUUACAGGCAUGAGCAGCGCAAAGUUUUAGUUAAGCAAGAUGAAUAAGCUCUAGAGCUCUGUAGUAAAAAAUCCUGUAUUGUCCACUUAAAAAAUGUGUUAAGAGGGUAGAUCUCAUGUUGAGUGUUCUUACCACAAUAAAAUAACAUUAAAAAUGCAUCUGUUUUAAAGGAUAGUUUCCCUGGAAAGGUGGUUCAAAGAGCGUAGGCAAAUCUCAUCUUACCAAGGAGCUGGUUACGCAUGAGAGCAAAUAAGAACUGCACAUGAAACAUGAGAAUUAAAAUUAGGUGGGUCUUUUUUUUCCCCAACCAUCUUACUUUUUAUAGUUAUUUCGGAGAAAUCUGCAUUUUUCACUUGGAAUGUGCCGUGCCUUUGUCGGCCAGCGAUGUAUACCAGUCUGCCUGGCUGUUUCCGCUGGCUUGUCAGGCUCACUAAUUAGAGAGCUGCAGCGUGAUUCACCUUGUUAAUUAGAGGGACUUGCACACGGAGCCCUUCGGGCAGUGUAUGAGAAAGCCUCGCACCAGUGCCCCGAGAACGAUGCAGUCUGUGAAGUCAUUCUUCUCAUCUACCUUCUAUUUUUCAUUUGAAAUGAAUAAAUCAUCGAGAUUUUCCUUGUGGAGUGAGAAUGCAAGAAUUCACAUCUUUGUAAGAUGUAAAUUACAUGUGAUCAAUAGGAAGCGAUGACGCGCGCAUUGUACUUACAUGAUUUCCUAAUUUACUCCUUGUCAGUGUCUGAAAAAAUGGCCUGAAAUAUUUGUCUCCUUUCCAUGAAUCAGUGCCCUUCAUCUGGUAAAAGAGGGUGUUGAGUGAGAAACACAGCUGUUUUAUUUUAGCUGCUGGAGCCUGGUCCAGUGGUGUGUUGUUUGCUUGCAUGGAGAGAGGGGGAAGCUUCUGGAAGCCAGGCCUCUGGAACAAUCUCCUUCUCCCCAGCUUCCCCCAGGGGCCUGUCUGCUCGAGAAGAGACAGGGCAUAGCAGGUAACUUUGAUUGAGGUAUUCUUUUGUAAUAGAGAUCCCCACUUUUUGGAAUGGAGGCUUUAGAUGUUUUGUGUCUUUUUUAAAAAACAUCUUAAUUUUAAAUAAUAAUAUUUUGGCUGUAUUAGACUACGGACCCAGUCACAGAAACAGCAGUGCCUCUGAACAGCAUGUUACCUUCUUUCCUAUCUGUAUAGGAUACUCUGGAAAUAGUUUCAUUGGCUUUCUCCCCAACUACUUGAUUAAAAUUAAGUGUUGCAUUUGAAUAAGU
rnacentral:lncRNA from 1 species